rfam:Bombyx mori DNA, contig: Bm_scaf91_contig34458, strain: p50T/Dazao, build 2, whole genome shotgun sequence.
UUAACAUAAAUUUGUAUGGAGUUGGACCGUUUGCCUACGUUUGCCGCCAGGGGCGCUGUUCCAACUGCAUACCAAUUUGCGUUA